rnacentral:rRNA from 1 species
GACGGGGGGCAAGUGUUCUUCGGAAUCACUGGGCGUAAAGGGCACGUAGGCGGUGAAUCGGGUUGAAAGUGAAAGUCGCCAAAAAGUGGCGGAAUGCUCUCGAAACCAAUUCACUUGAGUGAGACAGAGGAGAGUGGAAUUUCGUGUGUAGGGGUGAAAUCCGUAGAUCUACGAAGGAACGCCAAAAGCGAAGGCGGCUCUCUGGGUCCCUACCAACGCUAGGGUGCGAAAGCAUGGGGAGCGAACAGG